rnacentral:tRNA from 1 species
GUGUCCGUGGCUGAGUGGUCUAAAGCAGUAGACUGUUAAUCUACCGUAGGUAAAACCUACCGUAAGUUCGAAUCUUACCGGGCACG